rnacentral:lncRNA from 1 species
UGAAGAAGGUUUGACAGUUGUCCCCUAUGACCACAGAGGGUGAUUCCGUUUCUGCAGAAGUCCCAGAAGUCCUGAUCCCAGCAGGUAAGCUUCCGGGGACCCAUCCAAGAAAUAAAGAAUAUUCUGCUUUUUCAAGCCUGUCAGCCACUCUUUGCCCCUUGUUUUCUUCCAGUUUUGUUGAGAUAUACUUGGUGUACGAUACUGUAUAAGUUUGCGUUAUGUAUACAGCAUAGUGACUUACGCGUAUUGCAAAUGCAAAAUGAUUACUGCUGUAAGUUUACCAUCCAUUACUUCAUAUAGUUACAAAUUUGUUUCCUUAGGAUGAGAACUUGUGCCUCUAUUCUCUCUUCUAGGAUCUUCUCUUAGCAACUUUCUUUUUUUUUUUCUUUUAAUAUAAUUUAUUGUCAAAUUGGUUUCCAUACAGCACCCAGUACGCAUCCCAACAAGUGCCCUCCUCAAUGCCCAUCACCCAUUUCCCCCCUCUCCCCCCCUCCAUCUACCCUUAGUUUGUUCUCAGUCUCUUAGGGUUUGCCUCUCUCCCUCUCUGUAACUUUUUUUUUUCCCCUUCCCCUCCCCCAUGGUCUUCUGUUAAGUUUCUCAAGAUCCACAUAUGAGUGAAAACAUAUGGUAUCUGUCUUUCUCUGACUGACUUGUUUCACUUAACAUAAUAACUUCCAGUUCCAUCCAUGUUGCUGCAAGUGGCCAGAUUUCAUUCUUACUGCCAAGUAGUAUUCCACUGUAUAUAUAAACCUCUCAGCAACUUUCAAAUAUGCUAUAAAACAGUAUUAACUGUAGUCUUAUUAUGCAUUAUAUUCCCAAUACUUAGAACUGAAAGUUCAGCCCCCUUCCUUCAACCCCUUCCCCCAGUCAGCCACCUCUGGUAACUGCAUGUCUGAUCUCUUUUUCGAGGAGUUGUUUUUGUUUUUGUUUCGUUUUUAAGAUUCCACAUACAACCGAGUUCAUUCAGUAUGUAUCUUUCUCCAUUUGACAUAUUUUGCUUACCAUAAUGACCGCAAGAUCCACCCACGUCAUUGCCCCUUUUCUAAACCGAGGUAGUCUGGAGCCUUUUUUCCCCAAAUUGUGUUCUGUGGAUCCACAGUCCCAGGGUUUGUGGCUCCUGGAGUAAAUACUACAUAGUCAGAGGGCCUGGGAAACAUUGCCCGUUCUAUUUCUCUUGGUUCACUUCAGCUAAACUUGUGCCUUUGUUUUUCCUCAAAUAUGCUAGGCACACUCCUGCCUCAGGACCUUUGCACUUGCUGUGCUGUCUCUCCAGAUAUCUGCAUGGCUAACUCUUUCAUCUUCAACUCUUCACUCAAAAUUACCUUUUCAGUGAAGUCUUCAUGUAAUGCUUUUAUAUAUCACCUCUCUGCUUUAUCAUUUUUUCUUAGCACUCACCAGUAACUUCAGUGAAUCAUGCCUCUUUCUGUUCUAUCAGUUAGAAUUGCUGAAUUCUAUUUUAAGGGUCACUAUGGCAGGGGAAAAUAAACAUGGCAAACCGUUCAUUGGCUUUUAAAGCUUCCACAGAAAAUAACACACAUCAUUUAAGCUCAUAUUACAUGGUACCAAACAAGUCUCCUGGCUCCAUGGGACUUCAAAAGGGAGAGGAAAAUGCAUUGCUGAGCCGUGCCUAAAAGGAGAACUGGAGUAUCUGGCAAUAGUUCUUCAGACAAACCCUGUUUCAUACCCAUCAAUGGCUUUCAAUGGCUCGUGGGGUUAAGUCCAAAUUCUUUCACAGAACUUCACAAUCUCUGCAUGGUCUGGCUCUUGCUUACCUCUCUUCGAUUCACAUUUCAGCUUCGAGGUCAUUUCUUUCAGGAAGCCCACCCUGAGCCCUCUGUCUGGGUGAAGGGCUCUUCAUCGGAUGUUCCUUCAGAAACUGGGGAGCUUCUCAGCACAUGACUAGUUACUUGAUUGCAUCUCUUCCUAAAAGUUUUCCUGUAACCCAUCCAUCAGUCUUAAAGUCAAUCCAAUUGGUCAUGAGCAAUAUUUUAAAGAAAGAAACGACGUAAUAGGACACAUAAUAGUGUAUCUUUAUAGUAAGUCUUAGGAAUGCUCUGAAACUUGUGUGGUCCAAUAGGUUGGGUUAACUUGAAAAAUGUAUUCCUUAAUCUGGCUGUGGUCCAACUCAUUUGAAGUCACAGCCCUACCAGGACUGGAAAUCCAGUGGGGUCUGGGGACCACCUGUUUCAUCUACCCUGACCCACCAGUGCCUAGCACAGUGCUUGUACAAAGGGACUUCAAUUUUUUUUUUUAAUUUAUGAAUUCUCCAUGACCUGAGCUACCAGCAACCUUAAUUAGAAACUGUGGAUGAGGGGCACCUGGGUAGCUCAGUCGGUUAAGCUUUUGACUUUGGCUCAGGUCAUGAUCUCAUGGUUCAUCCAUUCAAGCCCCAUGUCUGGCUCUGUGCUGACAGCUUAGAGCCUGGAUCCUGCCUCAGAUAUUCAUUCAUUCAUUCAUAUUCUCUCUCUCUCUCUCUCUCUCUCUCUCUCUCUCCUGCUCAUGCUCUGUCUCUCUCACUCUCUCUCUCAAAAAAAAAAAAAAAAAAAACCAGUGUAUGUGUUUGGGCUGGCUGUUUUUGUCACAUUUAACCUGAUGAACAGAGGUCAGCUUAGAUGCACAGCGUGAGGACUACCCUCCCUUCCUGCAUGGGUUUGCAUGGAGAGUUCUCUACCUGUCUCAGCCGCCCUCUGGGCCUGGGCAUGGAGACCUGCAAGAGCUCUUUCCUUUAUUCAAGGCCCUCCUGGUUUCCUUCUUAAAUCCAGUACCGUCCUUAUGCAUAGGAGCGGUAACAUGCUGUUACUCUGCACUAAAAUUUCACGGAGUCAGAAAAACGUGAAUUCAAAUUCCAUUUUAUUACUCCCUGGUUGCAUGAUUGCAGACAAGAUGCCUCUCUGAGCUGAAGUUUCUUCCUCUGUGAAAUAGAGGUGAUAUUCUGUUCCUUUCAGAGUCGAUGUGAGGAUUAGAGAGAAUGUUUAUUAUUCACAUCUGGCAAUGUGGGCAUUCAAUAAAUCAUGGCUAUCUAUUAUCAUUAUUAUCCUAUUGACUUUUUAAAGUACUUGAAAUCCAUCUACUAGUAACUCCUUUGAGUUAAACAUCAUUUACAACAAAAUGGUCCUGGCUUCCCUGAGAGGGUAAAGAUCUGAUGUCCUUAUCAAUGUCUUUAGUACCCCUUAGUAUCAUAAAGUAUGAACGUCUUUAGUAUCUGUAAUAUCUUCACAGUAUGAGUAUCUGUAGUAUCUUUUAUUACCUGUAUGGUAUGAAUAUCUUCAGUAUCUAUAGAAUGAGUAUCCAUAGUAUCUUUUAGUAUCUUUAUAGUAUGAAUAACUAUACCUUUUUCAGCAACGGGUCAGCCAAGAUCUGGCUUUGAUAGGAGGGAAGGAAGAGAAAUAAAGAAAAGAAGCCUGGGGUGAAGGAGGAGAGUAGCCGGAGGACACAGGAGUGUCUAGAAUUAAAUGUUUUAUCCCUUCCCUGUUCCAUUUCUGUUGCAGGAGUCUAACGGGGAUGAUGCUACAUCUUUGUGUCUAUUUCCCCAUGUAAUAUGUAUCCUUUUAGUGGUCAGCCACAUGAUUUCCAGGGACAAGUGCAAAAUAAAAGUGUAGGGCUUCUUGUUCAAAAAGGAAGAAGAAAGCUCUUUUCUUUCUCUCCCUGGAUGUGUCCUGGCGUUUAUUUGCUAUUUAGUGUGUGCCUGCUGGGGCACGGCGUACUUGUAGGCAGAUACUGACCUUCACCGGCUCAGAGGUUCGGGUUUGUGACUUGGUACAUGGGGUAUGUUCCCUGGAGCCUCCCGUACCUGCAACCCCAGGGGAGUGGGCUGCUGGGCACCUGUCCUGGGGAGGCAGGAAGUAGGAGGGUCAGAACCACCCAAGCCCAUGCUCCAAGCCCCAGCCCAUGUUCCGUGGUCCUAUCAGGCUUCACCUACAGACCCCAAAUUCAAAGAUGAAAUGAUUAAGAAUUAGAGAUGACACCUGCCGAGCUUUAAACCCCAGGCCUGGGGCUCUCUUUGGAGCACGGGUCCCUGUGCGACCACGGAGGUCACAUGAUGCACUGUGAAGCCAGCCCUGCCUUUAGCCCUGCUGAGCCCUGCUUCUGUGAUCCCGCUGUCGCUGGCCUGGCUGCUGCCGCCUUCCUCGACCUUGUCCAAACCUUCCUUCUGCAUCCCAGGACCCAGUGGGUCCCGGGGCACAAUCCCUAGAGGCUGCUGCUGCUGCACCCCUCCCUCUGCCGGAUUCUCCCUAAGGCGUCGCCAGCGGGGUGACCGUCUGCCUCCACCUGUGUGGCUCCUGGUGGGUGCAGCUGGUAGCCCAGGCCAAAAGAAAAAAAACAUGUGCUCUCUCCCAGUGUGUCUGCAGCUCCUGCUCCUAGCUCUUGUCAAGAGGUCCCUCCGAGUGAAAAACGACUAUUUGUGUACGUUAUUGAUCACCCUACCCGGGAAGAUGACUGUAACCUUUCCAUCCUGGCAGCAGCAGAACCCCCCGCUCUGCUUUGGCUGGGAGCAACCUGGAGGUUUUGAAUGGCAGCCAGGGCCGGGGGAACGUUUGCCAUGGCCAGCCUGGCCACCCGCUGGCUCUCUCGCCUUCCCUCUCCACCUGGAAAGGAAGAAGUGUUUGACAGAGAAGAGAGCAGGUUGGAUAACGAGAGUCAGUGCACAGAAGCCUCAGCUAGAGGCCCAACCCACCAUCAAAAGGAAGAAAGGAUGGCAGACGGAGGAAACUGGGUCAAGGCUCGGGAUCCGGAGUUCUCGAACCUGGGUUCAAGUCCUGGCUCAGACACUUUCAAACUGUAUGACACUGAGACUGUUGUGCUAAGUGCAGAAUGUGUAUAGAAAUAAUUCCUGCUUUGUCAUGCCUUUGAUGCGAGGAGCACAUGAGCUAAUAUGCAAAGAAAGUGCUUCUCAAGAAGCUGUAAAAAUAUUUGCCAGCCUUGUGGGAGGUAAUACAGAAAAAGAACAUAAUUCAUGAUGGUAAUACGGGUCCUACACUAUGCUUGCAUACAAAAGUAUUGGUGUUUUUGUUGGUGCAAAAUACCGUUAUUUUUGUAAUAGUAAAAUAAUAGGAUUUAACGAUUAUAAUUUAUAUAAUCCUAUGCUAUUAUGUACUUGUGUAAUGUUUAUAUAAUAUAAAUAAAAUUUACAGUAGGUUAUUAUAUUCUAAUAAAUACUGAAUGCUAU